GAGAGAUAAAGGAGGAUUCAGGAGAGGAUGAAGAGCAGAGAACGUCAUGUAGAAUUGACUCCUCAACCCCUGUCCAGAGCAUAGGUCAGGAGUUACUCUUGUCCUGUUGAUACCUGACCAGACCACACCGGACAGUCUUUGCCCAAAGGAAUAAAGGCAUUUCAUAAAAGGAG